rnacentral:lncRNA from 1 species
ACCGCAGUGCCAUAUCCACCACCAGAUUCACCACCCGAGGAGGGUGGUCAAGCCGAUCAUUAGGGGAGUUUUCUGUACCCUUUACCUUCAUUCAAUGGGGACAUUGAACAUUUUAAGUUUGGGGGUAUUGGGGGUCAUAGCAUGGUAGUUUAGUUUUAGUUAAUUAUUGCAUGUUUAGUUAAUUUUGCAUAUUUAUGUGUUUAGUUAAAUUUUGGCAUUUUG